GACGAACGCUGGCGGCGUGCUUAACACAUGCAAGUCGAACGGAAAGGCCCUGCUUUUGUGGGGUGCUCGAGUGGCGAACGGGUGAGUAACACGUGAGUAAACUGCCCUUGACUUUGGGAUAACUUCAGGAAACUGGGGCUAAUACCGGAUAGGAGCUCCUGCUGCAUGGUGGGGGUUGGAAAGUUUCGGCGGUUGGGGAUGGACUCGCGGCUUAUCAGCUUGUUGGUGGGGUAGUGGCUUACCAAGGGUUUGACGGGUAGCCGGCCUUGGAGGGUGACCGGCCACCUUGGGACUGAGAUACGCCCCAGACGCCUAUGGGAGGCAGCAGUGGGGAGUAUUGCACAAUGGGCGGAAGCCUGAUGCAGCAAUGCCGCGUGCGGGAUGACGGCCUUCGGGUUGUAAACCGCUUUCGCCUGUGACGAAGCGUGAGUGACGGUAAUGGGUAAAGAAGCACCGGCUAACUACGUG
rnacentral:rRNA from 1 species